AGUGAACGCUGGCGGUAGGCCUAACACAUGCAAGUCGAACGGCAGCACAGAGGAGCUUGCUCCUUGGGUGGCGAGUGGCGGACGGGUGAGGAAUACAUCGGAAUCUACUCUGUCGUGGGGGAUAACGUAGGGAAACUUACGCUAAUACCGCAUACGACCUACGGGUGAAAGCAGGGGAUCUUCGGACCUUGCGCGAUUGAAUGAGCCGAUGUCGGAUUAGCUAGUUGGCGGGGUAAAGGCCCACCAAGGCGACGAUCCGUAGCUGGUCUGAGAGGAUGAUCAGCCACACUGGAACUGAGACACGGUCCAGACUCCUACGGGAGGCAGCAGUGGGGAAUAUUGGACAAUGGGCGCAAGCCUGAUCCAGCCAUACCGCGUGGGUGAAGAAGGCCUUCGGGUUGUAAAGCCCUUUUGUUGGGAAAGAAAUCCAUCUGGUUAUUACCCGGGUGGGAUGACGGUACCCAAAGAAUAAGCACCGGCUAACUUCGUGCCAGCCGCCGCCGUAA
rnacentral:rRNA from 1 species